rnacentral:rRNA from 1 species
AUUGAACGCUGGCGGCAGGCCUAACACAUGCAAGUCGAGCGAGCGGCGGACGGGUGAGUAAUGUCUGGGAAACUGCCUGAUGGAGGGGGAUAACUACUGGAGACGGUAGAUAAUACCGCAUACCCUCAGAUGUGCCCAGAUGGGAUUAGCUCGUAGGUGGGGUAACGGCUCACCUAGGCGACGAUCCCUAGCUGGUCUGAGAGGAUGACCAGCCACAAUGGAACGGAGACACGGUCCAGAUGCCGACGGGAGGCAGCAGUGGGGAAUAUUGCAAAAUGGGCGCAAGCCGGAUGCAGCCAUGCCGCGUGUGUGAAGAAGGCCUUCGGGUUGUAAAGCACUUUCAGCGGGGAGGCGUUACCCGCAGAAGAAGAACCGGAUAACUCCGUGCCAGCAGCCGCGGUAAUAC